rnacentral:rRNA from 1 species
GAUGAACGCUGGCGGCGUGCCUAAUACAUGCAAGUCGAGCGAACAGAUGAGAAGCUUGCUUCUCUGAUGUUAGCGGCGGACGGGUGAGUAACACGUGGGUAACCUACCUAUAAGACUGGGAUAACUCCGGGAAACCGGGGCUAAUACCGGAUAAUAUUUUGAACCGCAUGGUUCAAUAGUGAAAGACGGUUUCGGCUGUCACUUAUAGAUGGACCCGCGCCGUAUUAGCUAGUUGGUAAGGUAACGGCUUACCAAGGCGACGAUACGUAGCCGACCUGCGAGGGUGAUCGGCCACACUGGAACUGAGACACGGGCCAGACUCCUACGGGAGGCAGGAGUAGGGAAUCUUCCGCAAUGGGCGAAAGCCUGACGGAGCAACGCCGCGUGAGUGAUGAAGGUCUUCGGAUCGUAAAACUCUGUUGUUAGGGAAGAACAAAUUUGUUAGUAACUGAACAAGUCUUGACGGUACCUAACCAGAAAGCCACGGCUAACUACGUGCCAGCCGCCGCAGUAA